UGCUCUAUUUUAUUGCUUAAGAUCUAAAAUUAACAUCUUUUCUUGCCUUUGAACUUUUAGCUUUCGCCACAAGCAAUGUAUGUUACUUUCCUUGUUCUUAUUAUCUAGCGCAAGCAAUGUUGAACAUGGAGGAUCCAAAUCUAGCUUUAAAAGCUUGAAGCCUAUCAAAUGCCAUCAAUGUUCAGAUACCUUCUAAAUUGGAGAUGUAAUGUAAGCAUGGGUCAAGUGUGUGACAUAAUGAAAGGACAUGGUAUGUGAUAUAGAUGAUGAAAGCUUUUAAGAAAUCAGGAAGGACAUAAAGGAAGAAAAAACAUAGGAUUAGCAACAAAAGAGGUUGGUAUUCUUGAUUUUUUGGUUCUAUAUUCAACCAUACUAUGAAAGCCUUGAGUCCACCCGGCAGCCCCAACAACUUUAGUCCAUUUAGUCAAAGUUUUUUUGCCUAUUACACUAUUCUCUGUCUUUUCCUUGUUCGUUUUUAAUUUUUCCUUUUAUAACAACAAAGAUGAAAUCUCUCACAGUUUACUGAUAAAAUUACUCUAAUCAGCCGCAUCAAUACGAAUUCUCUUUUAACUUUAGAGUGCUCAUCAACAACAAUCAUUUUAAACCCUCACCAUAAAAUAUAUGUUGAGUCAUUGAGAGUGUAUAUCAUCCACUUUGUCCCUUUAUUCUCAAAUAUAUAAUGAGAAAACCUAAACAAUCCAAAAUUCUGCAGAAAAACCAUUUUCCAAAUUUCUUCAGCCUUUUAACUAAUUAAACCUCAAGAAAUCCUUUACCAGAUUUUUUUUGAGUUACACCCUAAAUCUAC
rnacentral:lncRNA from 1 species